CAGUCGCCGCGGUAAUACGGAGGGAGCUAGCGUUGUUCGGAAUUACUGGGCGUAAAGCGCACGUAGGCGGAUCGAUCAGUCAGGGGUGAAAUCCCAGGGCUCAACCCUGGAACUGCCUUUGAUACUGUCGAUCUGGAGUAUGGAAGAGGUGAGUGGAAUUCCGAGUGUAGAGGUGAAAUUCGUAGAUAUUCGGAGGAACACCAGUGGCGAAGGCGGCUCACUGGUCCAUUACUGACACUGAGGCACCAAAGCGUGGGGAGCAAACAGGAUUAGAUACCCCAGUAGUCCCUGUCUCUUAUAC
rnacentral:rRNA from 1 species